rnacentral:rRNA from 1 species
UACGUAGGGUGCAAGCGUUAAUCGGAAUUAUUGGGCGUAAAGCGCGCGCAGGCGGUUCUUUAAGUCUGAUGUGAAAGCCCACGGCUCAACCGUGGAGGGUCAUUGGAAACUGGAGAACUUGAGUACAGAAGAGGAAAGCGGAAUUCCACGUGUAGCGGUGAAAUGCGUAGAGAUGUGGAGGAACACCAGUGGCGAAGGCGGCUUUCUGGUCUGUAACUGACGCUGAGGCGCGAAAGCGUGGGGAGCAAACAGG